AUUGAACGCUGGCGGCAUGCUUUACACAUGCAAGUCGAACGGCAGCGCGGGCUUCGGCCUGGCGGCGAGUGGCGAACGGGUGAGUAAUACAUCGGAACGUGCCCAGUAGUGGGGGAUAGCUCGGCGAAAGCCGGAUUAAUACCGCAUACGACCUGAGGGUGAAAGCGGGGGAUCUUCGGACCUCGCGCUAUUGGAGCGGCCGAUGGCAGAUUAGCUAGUUGGUAGGGUAAAGGCCUACCAAGGCGACGAUCUGUAGCUGGUCUGAGAGGACGACCAGCCACACUGGGAGUGAGACACGGCCCAGACUCCUACGAGAGGCAGCAGUGGGGAAUGUUGGACAGUGGGCGAAAGCCUGAUCCAGCAAUGCCGCGUGUGUGAUGAAGGCCUUCGGGUUGUAAAGCACUUUUGGCGGGAACGAAAAGGACUGUGCCAAUACCACGGUUCGAUGACGGUACCCGCAGAAUAAGCACCGGCUAACUACGUG
rnacentral:rRNA from 1 species